rnacentral:rRNA from 1 species
AACGAGACCUUAACCUGCUAACUAGUCCGUAUUACCCCGGUAGUACGCCGACUUCUUAGAGGGACUAUCGGCUCAAGCCGAUGGAAGUUUGAGGCAAUAACAGGUCUGUGAUGCCCUUAGAUGUUCUGGGCCGCACGCGCGUUACACUGACGGGGCCAGCG